AUUCUGCCCAAGCGGGGAAGGAUGAGAAGCUUCGACCAAGGUUCGACUCGAGCGCCAGCGAGAGAGCGUUGCCGCAGGCAACGACCCGAAGGGCGAAGCGCGCAGCGC
rnacentral:sRNA from 1 species